CAACACUGGCUCUUACAGCCGACUCAUUCGCGAACGACCCAUCACUACAGGCAGGCAGGGCAGACAGCAGUCCCUUCCAGCUCCUACCUCAGAACGCUUUUCUUGGCUUGUGUGGAGUCCCCCUUCUCAGAUCCAGGACCGGAUUCUCCGCAGCGUUGCACGGCAGUGGGAGUGUCACCGAAAACUGCCCAUUUCUGUGACGUCCCGUUGUGUUCCGGUUUCCCGUUUCCUGUACGGGACUCUCACACCGCUUCAAAACACAACGCGGAGUCUGAUCCACGCGCACGCUUUUCUUGUUGAAUCUGUCUCUAUAUUAGGCUAUACAUGUGUAUAUAUUUAGGUGAUUCUUGUUUUGUAUAUAACCUUAGCCCAAUAAGUAAGGGCCCAGCUGUCCCAGUGGAAGUUUAAGCUCUCUGAGCCGAAUCGGAGGACACCGUCCCGGUGGUUCCCUUCAGAAACGGGAGGGGAGGACGGCGUGCCGCGCUGCAGCGGCUGCUGCCGUACAUCAAAAACGAACGAGUGUCUAGAUUGCAGCUGAAAGCGUCUUAAGUCCGGAGGGGCAGCCAGUGUCCGAGCCCUUCAAAGAACCUCCGUACGCUCAC